CUAAGUAUUGAGAAAUGUGUCCUAGCGUCUGUAAAAAACUGUAACACAAUUUGUGUUGUUUUCACACAAUAUUCAGUCAAUUACCACGUGUCUAAAAUGCAUACAUUUUCUUUUCAUACAAGCUUACCCAAAACCAAAAUCAUGGAUCUUUUUAGUCUUAUUUGUAAAAAUACAGCAUGUCAGAAAUGAAGAUCUAAUGAUCCAAACCUUAAAUACAGUAUAAAGCUUCUACUUCUGCAAUAACAACAGCUCAAAAGUAUUGAAAAAUAUUUCUAUAUAAAAUAUUUUAACAACUAAUAAGCAUUUUUAAGUAACAGAUCAAUGAAAUAUUUAGAAAUAGCUGAUUCCAUUCUCAUUUAGAGGAAUAAACAGGUGUUGAAGCUUUUUCCAUUACAUCAACAUAAAAAGACCUCUUUGAAUUGGUUUUGUGGAUGCAGAACAACACAAAGAAUCAAGGAGAGAAAAAAUAAUGUCUGGGAAAGGGAGAGAAAUAGUUGUAGGAGGUAGAGGAGUAGUUGGAUCAGAAAAAAGGAAAGAAAAGGUAGGGGAGAGGAGAGGAGUAAGAAUGUGUGCUGGACUGUGCAUUUUUAUGUUUGUUUUUUUCGCCUUACACAUAAGCUUAUGUCUGCCAUGGAAUAUAAAGGGUACAGGGUAAUUGUGACUUUUUUUAUCUCACAAUUCUGAUAAAGUCUGAAUUGCAAGAUGUAAACUUGGAAUUCCAAGAAUAUACAUCCGAAUUGUGAGAUACAAAUGGUCAUAAUUAUCAUAUUUUCUUGUUUUUCUGUGACGGAAACAAGCUUGCAUAGUAACCUAAGGCCACGUAUGUUGGAAUUUCUGUCGAUCACUGGCAUCAGCUAUCAUAGGGCACCAUCCACAUCCAACCCCGACCCACUGGAAAGGAAUUGCGAUCAAUGUUCCAAUCGAAUUUCUGCAUAGAGGACCCUAUCUUUUUCUAUUGUACAUUCUAUAAAGUAAUAAUGACUCACUCAGUUUUAGAUAGUAUAUUGCCAAGAAAGAACACAUUGAACACCUAAAAAUGUAAAAUGGGUUUCUGUUUAGGGUAAAAUCAAAUCAAAUCAAAAACAAAAAAAACAAAAAACAAAAAAAAACAACACCACCACCACCAACAAAAAACAAUAGAUUUAAAUAUUUUCUGUUAUAUUUGGGUAGAACUGAAACAUGACAAUCAAUGCAGCUUUUGUAAAGCCAUCGACUGUUAGUAUUUUGACAGUCACUGUGCUAUGACUGACUAUAUGUUUCUGUUGGAUAGAAACUAGUGGUAAUGUUUUGACCAAAUGACUCGUUUUUGAAUCAGGUUUGCUGUGUUUUGAUAGAGUUGGUAUAUGUAGAAAAAGGUAUUCAGCAUUUUGAAAUGUAGAGUUUGUAUUUAUUUAACAGAAUAUGGUUUUGGCCAGAAAAUGAACAAUUUGGCUAAUUGUGUGAUGUAGGUGUGUUGCUGUGUUAAGAGUUUAGAAAAAGUACUUCAAGUAUUGGUAAAUGCUUGUUAGCAAUUGAAAAAAACUGUAAAUACACAACAUCAGGGUUAAUGGUCAUCUCUGUUCUUAUCACAGGUUUAGGGACCCGCUCUGUGAAAGUAAGAAGUAUGAAAAUCCAGUUCACAGAGAAAAAUUGUGUGAAAAAAAUGUUGUGACCAUAGUACAGUGAUGGUAUCAGAUAUUAAUGUUGGGUAACACUUUAGAAUACAGUCCCGUUAUUAAUGAAUAACUACACAGGAAUAAAUGACUAAUGCACUAUUAACAUUCUAAUAACUACUAUUAACUUACAAGAAUCUCUGACUGACAAAUCAGUAAGUCAUAGCACUGAAUGUGGUAGUUCACUAUUAGCUAAUCAGUAACUACUAUUUUUUUAUAUAUCUUCCAGAGAACUACUAAGAACGACUAUAUAUAUGUUCAUAAUUAAUGUAAAUAAUGCAAAAUCCAUAAUUAAUUCUAAAGUGAUGAUCAUGGUAACCCACUAGUAAUGACUCAGGUAUUACCAAAUACUUCAGAAGGAAUUACUAAUUAUUUGGAUCCGUAUUCUAAAGUGAAGAUCAUGACGACUAAAGUCAUUAAAAACUAUUGAGGUUUUUGUAAGGUUCUGGAUAGUCAUACUUCCGAUGGCUUUGGUAACACUUUAUUCAUUACUAGUGGGUCACCAUGAUCUUCACUUUAGAAUAUGGAUCCAAAUAAUUAGUAAUUCCUGUUGAAGGAUGUAGUAACACUUGAGUUAUUACUAUCCAAAACCUUACGUACACUGUAAAAAAAAAAAAAAAAAAAAUGUAAAAAAAACGGUGAUACACCAUUAACUGAAGUAACGUGUUUGCACAGCAAUAUGAGAAAUGGUAUACUGACUAUACAAUGCCAAAAAAUGCUUAAAUUGUAAUCUGAAAUUUCAUGUUUUAUCUGUGUAAUUAACAAACACGCACAGACCAUUAAAUUAAAUACCAUUCUUUGACUGUGAAUUGAAAUAACGUUUAAACCCUUAUUUCAUGAAACAUGUUUUAACUGUAGAUGUAAAAAAACAUGGUUAAACAGUUACUUAACUAACUAAAAUUUGACUGUAGAUAUACAUAACAUGUAAACCCAUUAUUUAAGAAAGAAUGUUUUGACUGUAAACUUAAAUAAAGUUUAAAUUGUUGUUUAACAGAUUUUGACUGUAAAUUGAAAUAACUUGUGUCAGCCAAUAUUUAAAAAAAAUGAACUGAAAUGGACCAUAAUUUUGAAUUACGUGUACAGCACUUUAUUUUAAAAUUCCCACCCCAGGUUUAAAUGUUUCACUUGUAAAAAUGAUUUUAAAUAUAAUAUACAUAUGGUAUCAUGAUUAUGGCUGUUAUUUUCCAUUAAGCUAUGACAACAAAAAUGAAUUUAUUACAGACAAUCAAUAUUAAUUGGUCCCCCUGUAUUUUCAUGUAAUGCAAUAAAGUUUCUGUUGUAAUUAACAACAAUCUUAAAUCUAAAAACAGCAAUACCAAUUCAAACAUUUAAACUUAUUCCAUUAAUAAUAAAAUAAGUAAAUACAUAAAAAAAAAAUCUAGACAUCUCAAAACAUUAUGCUAUAAUUUUUUGUAUAAAACAACAUCAACAAAUACAAUUAAUAUCAUCAUUGCAUUUCAAGUCUUCCACACACAAGGGUUUGGACAGACCAAUGGGUACAACUCCAAUGCAUCUUGGUGUUGGUUUUGGUCCUUUAAAAGAAAGCGAAAGAUAGAGAGAGAGAGAGAGAGAGAGAGAGAGAGAGAGGUUACACAUCUCAAUUGUAAAAGUUUCAAUUUGAAGUAAAAGUGAGGUUAUGUGUGUCCUAAAUUUCACGCAUCACUCCACGUGUCCUUGAGAGAUGUACUUCUUUUUUUGAAAUGAAAAAGGUUUACACAGUUAGAGGGUAGCUAAAUUUGGAUUGCUACAAAUAAAUUUAGACAGUGUGACACAGACCUCGUUGUGAUUUUAGAGACAAUUUAAAAAUCAAAAAUCCAAAAUAUUUUCUGGUAAUUGCGUACCUCUACAUGUUGUGGAUUGUUAUUGUCCUGUCUUUGAUGUAAAUUAUGGCCGCCGCCAUCUUUGAUUUGAACAAUGCUGUAAGAAAAACAGCGACAAGCGACAAGUUCAUCAUUAAGUUCAUCAUUAAGUUCAUCAUUAUAAAGUUCAGCAAGAUAUUACCUGCCAGUGGAGAUGAAACGCAGCCUUUAUUUCCGCACUGGCACAAAAAUUAUGGUAGUUGCUUCGAUGGGAAAGCGUGACUGGAUGUACACAGAGUUAUUGGCACCUCACGUUAACUCCAUCAGGCAACGCACACAAGGUCUCUGCAGGACCUGAUUUGCUCACAUCACAGUAAGGUUAGGAGUGAGGUUAGGCCGUCCUUUUCGUUGCAUGAUUUUAAAACACCCUAUGCCUGCUGUCACGUUUAUAGUUUUUAUUGUAUGACGUGACAAGUUGAACGGUGCGUGUUUUCCAUACUGCAUGUGGUUGCUCGCUACUUCACUUGAAUUCAGGCGUCAGUUCGUUUAAAAAAUCUAUAAGUAAAAGUUUCUCUCAAGUAGGCUAAGUAAAGUGUGUGAACGUGAUGGUAUUAAGCAACAUAUUCUGCUGUGUGGAUCCCCAAAGUGACAGAACGACAACAAAUCAACACUGGACCUUGAUGUCAAGUAAGUGUAUUUUUUUAUUCAAGUGAACUGCCAUCCAGCGUUAGUUUAAAUGUUAAUGGCAAACAGGUGGAAAUGGCUAAUUACAUAAGCUUUAAAUUGUAAGCGAAUCAUCUUGUAGUUUAGAUCAUGCAAGUUGCUAGACUGUUUGUUGAAAGAUUUUGAAGUGAUAUUUGGGCUACAGAACUGUGUAGUUAUUUUUAUUUAUUUUGUUUUAUUGCUGCAGAGUUUGGUUCUGGUUGGUUGUUUUAUUUAUUUGUAUUUUUUUUUUUUAGAACUUAAGGAAGCAGACUCAUUGGAUGGACAAAUUAUUUCGUAUCAGGUUUGUUACCUUCAACUAUAUUGAUGUAUUUGUGCAAUUGUGAUUGCUCUCUUAAGACAGUUAAGGGAUAGGUUAGUCAUCAGGGCCAGUUGCAUAAACUUAGCCUCUAUGUUAAGACAGUGUCUUAAGAGCUAGUUUGACCAGCUAGCAGUUAGCCAAAGGGUAAUCAGUCUUAUUUUUUGGAUUCAACUUAGACUAAUCUACAUUUUUAUGUAACUGAAUUUAAAUAAUGACGACCAGCUUUAAAGAAAAAAAAUAGCUGGCUUACUUUUAAGACUAGUCUUAACCUUUUAUGCAACUGGCCCCAGAUCUUACACUGACAUGAAACGAAUGCUCACAAUCCAUGUUGUUUCCCAGACUGCAAACUUAAGUUCACAAAAUACAGUGCUCUCAAAGCUCAUGUUUAUUGCCAUCACAAAAGACAACAAACUCAAUUGGAUGAUUCAGUGGGCACAUUUGUUUGCAACAGUUCAAACUGUCAGCAGAAAUGCCCAGCCAUAAACAAAGUCCUUUCUCAUCUUAGGUCACAUUUAGCAACGGGAGAGGUGGUAUGUUGUCCUUUUGAAAAAUGUGCCAAAAUAUUCAGUUUAAGAUCAAGCUUUUCGGCCCAUGUUUCACAAAAGCACAGGACUUCAACAUUUGCUAAAUUAAAAACUACUUUAUCUGAACAACGUUUUUUCUCAGCAUGUUUUGAUGUAACUGAGGAUGGAGGUGAUGAAAAUGAAUUCUCAGAUUCGCUGACUAAAUCUAACACACAGUCAUUGUACAUGAAAAUACUUUGUCUGUUUUAUAUGCAGCUGCAAGCCAAAUACCUGGUGCCAUCGUCAACCAUUCAGAUGAUUGUAGAGGAAUUAAGUAAUUGAAAUGAUAUUGGUCAUCAGUACACAAGGAAAAUACUAGCCAUAGAGGGUUUGAAAAGCCUAGGUGUGGAGACCAUCGAUGACCUACAGUUUCUGAAAGACCAGGAUCUAGCUGGCUUCUUAAAACCAAUUAAGCAAGAAAACUAAUUGCCCAAGUUUUGAAAUCAAUGGUCUGCAUACAAAUGUAUACAACAUGCAUUCACUUGACUUGACAAAUAACACACCAUUCUUAUUUUAUUUUGUAUUUCGUAGCUGUAUUCUGUACGUGUUGCACAGUAUCUCAAUGUUUGUUGAUCUUUUGGUAUCAAUGCCAGUUUUGUUGUUUAUGCCAUUUAGAUGUUACUUUCACUCAGCAAAACAGUACAAAUGAGACAUCUGCUGAAUACACUUCUGAUACAUCAGGUUCACCUGGUCCUGGAUGCUCCACUUCAUCAUCAAGCAUUUCAACUGAAAGAUCAAGCAGGAAUGAAAGCACACUUUAAAGAGCUCACAGGCAUUGACAUGAACGACAGCUUUGAAGAAGCCACUACCAGUGAAUUCAGAAGAAUAUCCGAGUACUUUCAGUCUCAGUGCACAGAGAGGGCAAGCAGAGCAGGGAGAAUCCUCACCAAGAUUUGAACUGGAGGGGAUCAUGUUUGUGGGGCAGUGAUGUUGUUGCUCACCCAUUUAAAAAAUUAUGAAGACCAGUUUCUUGUGAUGGUAGAAGACACUUGUGUUCCAAACGAUAUAUGCCCAGAGCAGCUUCCACCUACUCCAAUAGUGUGUGGAGAGAACCCACUGACAGCCAGUGUAUACAUGGUAGCAGUAGACCAGAUGAUUGUAAAUGAACAUCUUUUGAGUUGUACUGAGGCCCUGUAUUUGAUAUUUUCCCUCUACUACAUAUUGAACAGAAGUUACCCUGUAGAACUGGGAGAAUUCUUGCACAGAUGCAGGCAUUCAGAAAUGUGACAUUCGUCUCCACGGUACAGGCCAAACUUUUUGGACUGUAACGCAUGACUUUUGUUCCUUCAAAAUUUGUUCUUUCAGUUUUAUUUCCCCAGGACAUGCUCUGUAUUAUUAGUAUCCAGGCCCAACAGGGUCAUUUUUAUUUUAAUUAAUUUUUAUUUUUUUUUAAUGUAGCUACACAUUUGUGUCUUGAAGCGUGUCUUUUGCUGGAAAUGUUCUUAAUAAAACAAAAUGUUCUUAUUUCUAUGGUUUCAUUUUAAAAGCUUGCUAUAUAGCUAUAAACAGCUUGUUGGCUUGCUUC